rnacentral:rRNA from 1 species
AAUACGUUCCCGGGCCUUGUACACACCGCCCGUCACACCACGAAAGUCGGCAACACCCGAAGCCGGUGGCCCAACCGUAAGGAGGGAGCCGUCGAAGGUGGGGUCGGUGAUUGGGGUG